UCUUCGUUUAAUAAAGAACAAGUAUAAUUCGCCCAAAAUAGUAAGUAACCAUAAGCGUUGAUAUGUAAACUCUAGUGUUUGUGUCCUACAUAAAGCGAUUUGUGGUAUGCAAGGACAUAUACAUACCACAUUUUGGGAAGUUCUGUUGUAGAUUGUACCAGCUGUAUUCACCAUAUUCUUGGAGAGUCAGAUGAAUAAAUCUACCCGCUUCCAGUCCUUUCCUCCCAUCUCCCUCUCCCACACUAAAGUGAAUUGUGGGGCAUGACACAAGUUGGAGAGAGGCCCCAGGGAGUGUUCCAGGACUGAGGGAAAGGAGGAUUUGUGGCUACUCUGUGCCCUGCCAAUGGAAGUAAAAAUAGACCUACCUCCUGGGGUUAUUGUUAAGUUUCAGUGAGCCAGUGCAUACGGACUUUGCUUAUUAGCACAAUGCCUGGCCUUCCACUUUUCCUGAUCAUCUAUAGGCACUGGCCCCUUGAAUAACUUCACUCUGUAUGCUGGGUAUACAGUAAUAUUGCCAGCGCUGAAGCAGAAGAUGCAGACACUGUGAAAUGUGCUGUGGUCAACCAAGCUGUCCACAUGCCAGGAGAUUUAUUUCCCAUCUCUUCAGCAAGCUCUCUCCAUCCUGGGUGGCAUAGAGUAGAAGCUGAGAGUGUGGGCUCUGGACGCCGACAGCAUGGCUUCCAAUCCUGGCCUGUCCGUCACGUGUAGUUGAUGUGCUGUAAACAGCGACUGCCUACAAGAGAGGUUUGGAAUCUGUUGACUUUGGCUGGGAUGUAGCCUAAGGAGAUUCAUCGGUUUCCAAUUCCUGUUCUCUCAGGAUAUUAAGUAUUGCCAUGAACUGGAAAAUUUUUCUUUAUUAAAAUUGGAGGAAGAGUUGGAGUGUUUUGAAAGAGACCUGGAACAGGAAGGGAGCUGACAUGAGAAGUUCCACUGCAUUGCUUCAGAGAUGAUUUUUAUCUUUUUUGUGUUGCCGGUGCUCAGUGGCUUAAAUCUUCAGUACAACAAGGCAUCUUAACUAUGUUUCUGUGGACCAAGAGAAGAGCGGGUGAAUUACUCACACAUGGGCCAAAGUGAUCAAAGGAGUGCAUCUCUCUAUUCCACCCCAAGCUAGUUUGGUGUUGGCAGCAGUUGGCAGGCUUCCUAAGGUAGAGUGGUUUUUUUUUUUUUUUUUUUUUUU
rnacentral:lncRNA from 1 species